rnacentral:ncRNA from 1 species
UGGUCAUCAAGAAAGGCUGAGGGAAUAGACCCUGCGAAGCCUUGACAACCGAUCCCGUUCACAGCGGGACACGGUGCCACAUUCUACUUCUGCACUCAAUGCACUCCGACGCAAUCGGAAUGAAGCGGAAGAACGAUGCGUG